AAAUGAGGAGCUUCUUUCAGAUUUGUAAUGGCAAGGAGGAAGACAACUAAUGCCACAGAGUAAUGGAUAUAAAAGAGCAGCACUGGAGUGAAUGGACACUGGCUCAUGAUGUUGGGUCAACCUGCUAUUUUCUUAAAACUCUGACCCUUGUAAUAUGAGAGGGAAGAAGUUUAUUUGUGCACUGUACCACCCUCAGCGCACCCAUCUUUUAUCCAUUCAGUCUUCACCAGAAGUGCUCAACAGUUGACACACCUGCUGUAAAAG